rnacentral:lncRNA from 1 species
AUAAAGUAGAGUUUACAAGUGCUGGUAGUAUAGGUUAAGAUUAUGCAGGAUUUUACACGUUAGAAUAAAGAAGAUGGAUGCCCUGUGGGAAAUAGGGAGUUAAUAAAAAUCUUUAAGCAGAGGAGUCAGAUAUUAAAAUGAAAGCUUUUGGAACCCUGGAAAUGGUAUAAAAAUGGGUGAAUUGGAGCUCAGAGGGGAGAUGUUCCCUACCAACAUUUCAGAGGAAGAGUUUCUAUCAUUUACUUUACACUGAAGACAGAAUUCCUGUUGGUGACUUAGAGAGAAGCAUCUUGUCUGAUCUGCCUCUCUGGAAUGAAGAGAGAAUGGAAGAGCAAAGUUAUCCUUCUGGGGACCCUUUGUAGUAUCGUCAGCUGAGGUGUUAGACACACGAGAAAAACCAUCUUGGGCUUUCUAGCUCCAGUCUAGAUACAAGUUGAAUGGAGUUCAUGAAUAUCCCCAUCCAACACCAUAAGCAGCAGAAAAUUGCCUCUGAUGGGCUCAGACAACCUAUAUGAUGGUGAGAAAUAAUAAAUUAUUGUUGCUUUAUACUGCUAAGUUUGAU